rnacentral:rRNA from 1 species
GACGAACGCUGGCGGCGUGCUUAACACAUGCAAGUCGAACGGAAAGGCCCUGCUUUUGUGGGGUGCUCGAGUGGCGAACGGGUGAGUAACACGUGAGUAACCUGCCCUUGACUUUGGGAUAACUUCAGGAAACUGGGGCUAAUACCGGAUAGGAGCUCCUGCUGCAUGGUGGGGGUUGGAAAGUUUCGGCGGUUGGGGAUGGACUCGCGGCUUAUCAGCUUGUUGGUGGGGUAGUGGCUUACCAAGGCUUCGACGGGUAGCCGGCCUGAGAGGGUGACCGGCCACAUUGGGACUGAGAUACGGCCCAGACUCCUACGGGAGGCAGCAGUGGAGAAUAUUGCACAAUGGGCGGAAGCCUGAUGCAGCAACGCCGCGUGCGGGAUGACGGCCUUCGGGUUGUAAACCGCUUUCGCCUGUGACGAAGCGUGAGUGACGGUAAUGGGUAAAGAAGCACCGGCUAACUACGUG